rnacentral:rRNA from 1 species
GGCUCAUUAUAUAAGUUAUCGUUUAUUUGAUAGUACCUUACUACUUGGAUAACCGUGGUAAUUCUAGAGCUAAUACAUGCUAAAAAUCCCGACUUCGGAAGGGAUGUAUUUAUUAGAUUAAAAACCAAUGCCCUCUGGGCUCCUUGGUGAUUCAUAAUAACUUUUCGAAUCGCAUGGCCUUGCGCCGGCGAUGGUUCAUUCAAAUUUCUUCCCUAUCAACUUUCGAUGUUUGGGUAUUGGCCAAACAUGGUCGCAACGGGUAACGGAGGGUUAGGGCUCGACCCCGGAGAAGGAGCCUGAGAAACGGCUACUACAUCCAAGGAAGGCAGCAGGCGCGCAAAUUACCCAAUCCCGAUUCGGGGAGGUAGUGACAAUAAAUACUGAUACAGGGCUCUUUUGGGUCUUGUAAUUGGAAUGAGUACAAUUUAAAUCCCUUAACGAGGAACAAUUGGAGGGCAAGUCUGGUGCCAGCAGCCGCGGUAAUUCCAGCUCCAAUAGCGUAUAUUAAAGUUGUUGUGGUUAAAAAGCUCGUAGUUGAACCUUGGGCCUGGCUGGCCGGUCCGCCUCACCGCGUGUACUGGUCCGGCCGGGCCUUUCCCUCUGUGGAACCUCAUGCCCUUCACUGGGUGUGGCGGGGAAACAGGACUUUUACUUUGAAAAAAUUAGAGUGCUCCAGGCAGGCCUAUGCUCGAAUACAUUAGCAUGGAAUAAUGAAAUAGGACGUGUGGUUCUAUUUUGUUGGUUUCUAGGACCGCCGUAAUGAUUAAUAGGGACAGUCGGGGGCAUCAGUAUUCAAUUGUCAGAGGUGAAAUUCUUGGAUUUAUUGAAGACUAACUACUGCGAAAGCAUUUGCCAAGGAUGUUUUCAUUAAUCAGGAACGAAAGUUAGGGGAUCGAAGACGAUCAGAUACCGUCGUAGUCUUAACCAUAAACUAUGCCGACUAGGGAUCGGACGA